rnacentral:pre_miRNA from 3 species
AGUGGAAUUGCUAGGUCAUAUGGUAAUUCUAUGAUUAGCUUUUUGAGGAACUGCCAAACUGCUUUGCAUAGUAGAUGCACCAUUUUACAUCUCCAUCAGCAAU